GGCUGCGCAGCUACACAUGCAGUCGAGCGAGAUCUUCGGAUCUAGCGGCGGACGGGUGAGUAACGCGUGGGAACGUACCCUCUUCUGCGGGAUAGCCACUGGAAACGGUGAGUAAUACCGCAUACGCCCUUCGGGGGAAAGAUUUAUCGGAGGAGGAUCGGCCCGCGUUGGAUUAGGUAGUUGGUGGGGUAAUGGCCUACCAAGCCUACGAUCCAUAGCUGGUUUUAGAGGAUGAUCAGCCACACUGGGACUGAGACACGGCCCAGACUCCUACGGGAGGCAGCAGUGGGGAAUCUUAGACAAUGGGCGCAAGCCUGAUCUAGCCAUGCCGCGUGAGUGACGAAGGCCUUAGGGUCGUAAAGCUCUUUCGCCUGUGAUGAUAAUGACAGUAGCAGGUAAAGAAACCCCGGCUAACUCCGUGCCAGCAGCCGCGGUAAUACGGAGGGGGUUAGCGUUGUUCGGAAUUACUGGGCGUAAAGCGCACGUAGGCGGAUUGGAAAGUAUGGGGUGAAAUCCCAGGGCUCAACCCUGGAACGGCCUCAUAAACUUCCAGUCUGGAGUUCGAGAGAGGUGAGUGGAAUUCCGAGUGUAGAGGUGAAAUUCGUAGAUAUUCGGAGGAACACCAGUGGCGAAGGCGGCUCACUGGCUCGAUACUGACGCUGAGGUGCGAAAGUGUGGGGAGCAAACAGGAUUAGAUACCCUGGU
rnacentral:rRNA from 1 species